UGGAUAGCUCAGUUGGUUAGAGCAUGGUGCUGAUAAAGCCAAGGUUGCGGGUUCAAUUCCAUAUAGGGCAG